CGAGCGGAUGACGGGAGCUUGCUUCCUUCAUUCAGCGGCGGACGGGUGAGUAAUGCCUAGGAAUCUGCCUGGUAGUGGGGGACAACUCUUCCGAAAGGAGCGCUAAUACCGCAUACGUCCUACGGGAGAAAGUGGGGGAUCUUCGGACCUCACGCUAUCAGAUGAGCCUAGGUGCGGAUUAGCUAGUUGGUGRGGUAAWGGCUCACCAAGGCGACGAUCCGUAACUGGUCUGAGAGGAUGAUCASUCACACUGGAACUGAGACACGGUCCCAGACUUCCUACGGGAGGCAGCAGUGGGGAAUAUUGAGACAAUGGGCGAAAGCCUGAUCCAGCCAUGCCGCGUGUGUGAAGAAGGUCUUCGGAUUGUAAAGCACUUUAAGUUGGGAGGAAGGGCAGUAAGUUAAUACCUUGGCUGUUUUGACGUUACCGACAGAAUAAGCACCGGCUAACUUCUGUNGCCAGCAGCCGCGGUAAUACAGAGGGUGCAAGCGUUAAUCGGAAUUACUGGGCGUAAAGCGCGCGUAGGUGGUUCGUUAAGUUGGAUGUGAAAGCCCCGGGCUCAACCUGGGAACUGCUNCCAAAACUGGCGAGCUAGAGUACGGUAG
rnacentral:rRNA from 1 species